GGUUACUGCUAUCGGGGUCCGACUAAGCCAUGCGAGUUGAGAGGGGUAAGCCCUCGGCAUACUGCUCAGUAACACGCGGAUAACCUGCCCUUGGGUCCGGGAUAACCCCGGGAAACUGGGACUAAUACCGGAUAGAUCAGAGAAACUGGAAUGUUCUCUGGUUCAAAACUCCGGUGCCCAAGGAUGGGUCUGCGGCCUAUCAGGUAGUAGUGGGUGUAACGUACCUACUAGCCAGCGACGGGUAAGGGUUGUGAGAGCAAGAUCCCUGAGAUGGAUUCUGAGACAUGAAUCCAGGCCCUACGGGGUGCAGCAGGCGCGAAAACUUUACACUGCGGGAAACCGCGAUAAGGGGACCCCGAGUGCCAGCACCUAGUGCUGGCUGUCCUACUGUCUAAAUAACAGUGGUUAGCAAGGGCCGGGCAAGACCGGUGCCAGCCGCCGCGGUAACACCGGCGGCCCGAGUGGUAACCGUUUUUAUUGGGUUUAAAGGGUCCGUAGCCGGCUUACUAAGUCUCUUGGGAAAUCUGGCGGCUCAAUCGUCAGGCGGCCAAGAGAUACUGGUAGGCUUGGGACCGGGAGAGGUGGGAGGUACUCCAGGGGUAGGGGUGAAAUCUCGUAAUCCUUGGGGGACCACCGAUGGCGAAGGCAUCCCACCAGAACGGGUCCGACGGUGAGGGUCGAAAGCUGGGGGCACGAACCGGAUUAGAUACCCGGGUAGUCCCAGCUGUAAACGAUGCUCGCUAGGUGUCAGGUGCGGUGCGACCGCAUCUGGUGCCGCAGUGAAAACUUGAAGCGAGUCACCUGGGAAGUACGGUCGCAAGGCUGAAACUUAAAGGAAUUGGCGGGGGAGCACUACAACGGGUGGAGCCUGCGGUUC
rnacentral:rRNA from 1 species